rnacentral:rRNA from 1 species
AGAAGGCCUUCGGGUUGUAAAGCACUUUCAGUUGGUGAGGAAGGUUGGUAGUUUAAUACGCUACCAAAUUGACGUUAGCCACAGAAGAAGCACCGGCUAACUCCGUGCCAGCAGCCGCGGUAAUACGGAGGGUGCGAGCGUUAAUCGGAAUUACUGGGCGUAAAGCGUACGUAGGCGGCUUAUUAAGCAAGAUGUGAAAGCCCCGGGCUCAACCUGGGAAUUGCAUUUUGAACUGGUAGGCUCGAGUUUUGAAGAGGGUGGUAGAAUUUCCAGUGUAGCGGUGAAAUGCGUAGAUAUUGGAAGGAAUACCAGUGGCGAAGGCGGCCACCUGGUCAAAAACUGACGCUGAGGUACGAAAGCGUGGGGAGCAAACAGGAUUAGAUACCCUGGUAGUCCACGCCGUAAACGAUGUCAACUAGUUGUUCGUUUCAUAAACGAAGUGAGUAACGCAGCUAACGCACUAAGUUGACCGCCUGGGGAGUACGGCCGCAAGGUUAAAACUCAAAUGAAUUGACGGGGGCCCGCACAAGCGGUGGAGCAUGUGGUUUAAUUCGAUGCAACGCGAAGAACCUUACCAUCCCUUGACAUCCAGUGAAUUU